rnacentral:rRNA from 1 species
UACGGGGGGAGCAAGCGUUGUUCGGAUUUACUGGGCGUAAAGGGCGCGUAGGCGGUCAGCACAAGUCAGUUGUGAAAUCUCCGGGCUUAACUCGGAAAGGUCAACUGAUACUGUGCGACUAGAGUGCGGAAGGGGCAACUGGAAUUCUCGGUGUAGCGGUGAAAUGCGUAGAUAUCAGGAGGAACACCGGUGGCGAAGGCGGCCCUCUGGACGGUGACUGACGCUGAGACGCGAAAGCGUGGGGAGCAAACAGG